CUCCCCAUCCCUCUUGGGAGUAGGUUUGCACCAUUGUCAGAGUGAAAUCAUCAGUGACUGUCGAGCCCUGAACAAACAGGCGGAGGAGCGGUGGCUUUCGGGGUACAAAGGUAUGCCCGACGCACCCCGCGAGCGAGCAGGGUGGACCCGAGUCCGGACCGCGCAGGUGCAGGCGGUGGCGGGCGGACGCAGAAGGCCGGGAACAAAGGCACCUCGGGGGCCUGCGCAGAGGUCACCUGCUGCCUCCGGGGCAGAUUAAGGGGGCCUAGAGAGGGCAUUGGGAGGAAAUGGUGCCGUGCUUCUUUGGAAAAUCAAUUCGUCCCACCCUUAAUAGGGCAUUUUGCUCCCCCUCUUCGGGAGUCGCUGGGCAGAUGCGUUUCCGGGUCUUGGGAUGGGGAUCCCGAGCCAGGAGGCGCCGCCUUGUCCUGCCCGCGCACCCUAAAACCCCUUCUGCUCUUUGCCUCGUCCCACUUCCCUUUUCUCUUUGCUCCGGGUUCUCCCGCCUCUCGGCUCAAGGCCUCUUCCGUAAUGAGGCUGGAAGUGGAACUUUCCCUCACUCCCUUACUUGAUUUCUUUCUUUCUCUCCCCCCGCCCCCCAGUGACCUGACUGCACUUUGCCCCCGCUCCCGGCCUGCCAAUCUCUUCUGGGUAGGGCCCCUUUCCAUUCUUGAGGCUCCCCCUCCUCGCCAGCCCCGGGAGGCCCAGCCUCCUCCCCAACCAGAUCUCCAGCUACACAGCCACCCCCCGCGGAGCAAGGAAGAGGCCUCCACCGAGUGAAUGGCUGGUAAGGAGGUUUUUAAUUUGUCUGGAGCCACAAGGAAAAGGCCUCCGGGCAGCGUCCCCCGAAGCCCUCAGCGGGCUUGGCAACGCCUCUGUGUAGGGCUCAGAGCCCCUCUGCCUUCCCGGUGGGCGCCUUCACCUCGCCAAUCUAGCCCAGGUUUACGGUGACAACUGGACUGAGGGAGACAGAAAAUGUUGGAGUGCUGUGUGCAAAGUCACCUCUGCCUUCCAGAACAAGGACUCUGCUUCGCCAAAGCCUCUGUUUUGCUGCUCCAAACCUCCCGACAUGAGAAAUUUAGAGGCUUGACCUGACGGUUCUGUCAGACAGGGUUAGAAAAGGCUGUUCAGGCCACCGCUGUCCUGAUUCGCAACCUGCUCGCGGUGGCGCUCUCCUUGAGCUCCGGGGAAUGUCACCAGGCCAUCCACCACUGAGGACCGCGGAAGACAGUGCAUUUAAAAGCUUUGCCCACCUGCCCUGUAGCCCCACCUCCAGCAGCAGCCCCUGAUGCAGAGGGAGGGAAAUGAAGCAGCCCGCACCUACUGGCUUUCUGCAGGUCUUGCUUCUCAGUCCAGCCAAUUUUCCCUUCAGACCAGGACUCAGAGGGACCGGGUCACCGUUUUCAGAGUCUCCAGCUUGCAACUUGCUGGACCUCAUCUCACAGCCAGGUGCUGGCUGCUCUGGCCUACUUAGCCUCCCCAUUUUUCAGCUUAUUACCGAAGGAUAGUUGCAGUAUUCUCCACAGGACACGGAAGUGUGGCACUGAAGGGAAUCUGUCCAGCCCUGAACUUGUAGACUGUCAGGGAAAUGGCAGCAAUAAUGUCUAGCUCAUCCUACCAAGGAAACGAUGUUCAUUAUGUCCCUUGAUUCUGAAUCUUGCUUGUUUGGGCCAACCAGGCACUAGUAAUGGUUAGAAAAAUCAGGGGCUUGAAAAUCACUUGUGCAUUGGUCUGCCAUCUCUUCAAGCUUCUGGAACCCAGCUACUGUUAUAGGGGUAUCUACUGGAGAAGUCUAUGCCGAUAGACUAUCUUUGUUAGCCGGCAGGUGACUACCCUAGGUGGUUGGGAUCUCAGUGUAGACCUUUUUCAGGGUGAGCUUCUAAGCCCCUCCAAAAAAACAUGUCCUGGGUUGACCAUACUUCAGUCAGCCAGCAAUGGAACUACAGAAGCCAAAAACCAUGAUAAGGACAUUUAGAGACUUUCCCAGAACUAUGGAAUUUGAUGGAUUGGGUCUUGGGUUUCAUUUUGGCAGGUGGUGCUAUCCUAUAUGCUGUUUUAUGACCUGAAUGGUACUUCCAUCAUGGUGUCAGUUGUGCUAAGGUCUGGGGACCUGUUACACCACAAUGUGAGAAUGCUUACAGUGUCUUGUCA